GGGUGUAUAGCUUAGUGGUAGAGCACUUGCCAAGCAAGUGCAAGGCCCUGGGUUCAAUCCUCAGUACUGCAA
rnacentral:tRNA from 1 species